ACACAUGCAAGUCGAGCGGGGAGAUGUAGCUUGCUACAUUUCCUAGCGGCGGACGGGUGAGUAAUGCUUAGGAAUCUGCCUAUUAGUGGGGGACAACAUUCCGAAAGGAAUGCUAAUACCGCAUACGCCCUACGGGGGAAAGCAGGGGAUCUUCGGACCUUGCGCUAAUAGAUGAGCCUAAGUCAGAUUAGCUAGUUGGUGGGGUAAAGGCCUACCAAGGCGACGAUCUGUAGCGGGUCUGAGAGGAUGAUCCGCCACACUGGGACUGAGACACGGCCCAGACUCCUACGGGAGGCAGCAGUGGGGAAUAUUGGACAAUGGGCGAAAGCCUGAUCCAGCCAUGCCGCGUGUGUGAAGAAGGCCUUUUGGUUGUAAAGCACUUUAAGCGAGGAGGAGGCUACCGAGAUUAAUACUCUAGGAUAGUGGACGUUACUCGCAGAAUAAGCACCGGCUAACUCUGUGCCAGCAGCCGCGGUAAUACAGAGGGUGCGAGCGUUAAUCGGAUUUACUGGGCGUAAAGCGUGCGUAGGCGGCUUCUUAAGUCGGAUGUGAAAUCCCUGAGCUUAACUUAGGAAUUGCAUUCGAUACUGGGAAGCUAGAGUAUGGGAGAGGAUGGUAGAAUUCCAGGUGUAGCGGUGAAAUGCGUAGAGAUCUGGAGGAAUACCGAUGGCGAAGGCAGCCAUCUGGCCUAAUACUGACGCUGAGGUACGAAAGCAUGGGGAGCAAACAGGAUUAGAUACCCUGGUAGUCCAUGCCGUAA
rnacentral:rRNA from 2 species